GUGGCAGUGAUGCUGAUCAUGAUGAUUAGAUAGACUCCUCCAAUCACCAGUCGGACAGUUUGCCACAGAGCUGAGAGACACAUGUUUUAUCUCCAGAACAACCAGCAACACUCAUCUGACCUGCUGAAACAUCCUUUAGAGGAACUCGUCAUAAUCUGGUCAGUGAUGUGAUUUGUUACAACUGCAGCUACAAGUCAAAGUUCAUCAAAUAGUAAAAAUUUAGACCAGU